GCCUACGGGGCGCAGCAGUGGGGAAUAUUGCGCAAUGGGCGAAAGCCUGACGCAGCGACGCCGCGUGAGGGAUGAAGGUCUUCGGAUCGUAAACCUCUGUCCGCAGGGAAGAACGGUCACUGUGCUAAUCAGCAGUGAAUUGACGGUACCUGCAAAGGAAGCCCCGGCUAACUACGUGCCAGCAGCCGCGGUAAUACGUAGGGGGCAAGCGUUAUCCGGAUUUACUGGGUGUAAAGGGAGCGUAGACGGCUGCGCAAGUCAGAAGUGAAAGCCCGGGGCUCAACCGCGGGACUGCUUUUGAAACU
rnacentral:rRNA from 1 species